UGCUGCCAGCGCCCGCGGGAAAGGUCGUGCUGGGAUAGAACAAGCGGCAUCAGUGGCGCGUCCGUGCUGCCCGGGGAGCUGCCCUCGGUGUCCUGCUGUGCCGCCCUCAGCCCAGCCCUGUCAGGGCUGCCGCGCUUUCUCCCUCUAUAAUUUCAGAGGUUGGCAAAGAUCGGGAAAGGAAACGUGGAAAAUGAGCGAGAAUUUCUCCCGAGUGUGUGGCGGAGGAGUUUUGCACAGAGUCCUUGACAGCUGGACUGUAGAUUAAAAGGACUCACCAAAGCUGAGCUCCCAGUGGAAAGGCCUUGCCAAAAUGUAACUGUAUACGGGGUGUUUUGCAAGCCUGAGGAUCCCUGGCGUGUCUGGAGGCUUGUGUGUGUGCUCCGCGUUGCUGGGAUGAGUCAAGUGUUUAUUUUGUCAAUGCAUUAAGUAUUUCCCAGAGGAAAUGCAGCCGGUGUGGGUGAACGAGCUGCAGUUGCUAUGGUCUGGAUGGAGCAGCCUGCUGGGGCCUGAAGGAAAAUCCUAAACGUGUUUCUCUGGAUCCUUCCAAACUUCUCCAUGACCUUAUGAGUCACUCUUCUAUCACACCUGGUUUCCCGUUGAUAAGUUGUUGCAGUUUUCCACAUUCCUUCAAUUUCCUGUCCUGCUUCUACUAGUAUCCUACGAAAAAAACCC